AGCGGCGGACGGGUGAGUAACGCGUGGGUAACCUGCCCUAUACACAUGGAUAACAUACUGAAAAGUUUACUAAUACAUGAUAAUAUAUAUUUGCGGCAUCGCAGAUAUAUCAAAGUGUUAGCGGUAUAGGAUGGACCCGCGUCUGAUUAGCUAGUUGGUGAGAUAACUGCCCACCAAGGCGACGAUCAGUAGCCGACCUGAGAGGGUGAUCGGCCACAUUGGAACUGAGACACGGUCCAAACUCCUACGGGAGGCAGCAGUGGGGAAUAUUGCACAAUGGGCGAAAGCCUGAUGCAGCAACGCCGCGUGAACGAUGAAGGUCUUCGGAUCGUAAAGUUCUGUUGCAGGGGAAGAUAAUGACGGUACCCUGUGAGGAAGCCCCGGCUAACUACGUGCCAGCAGCCGCGGUAAUACGUAGGGGGCUAGCGUUAUCCGGAUUUACUGGGCGUAAAGGGUGCGUAGGUGGUCCUUCAAGUCGGUGGUUAAAGGCUACGGCUCAACCGUAGUAAGCCGCCGAAACUGGAGGACUUGAGUGCAGGAGAGGAAAGUGGAUUCCCAGUGUAGCGGUGA
rnacentral:rRNA from 1 species